rnacentral:lncRNA from 1 species
CCACCCUUGAAGAGCCUGCCUCCACUACCCCCCACCCCGCACCAAGGCCUUUCCCAGGGGAGGCCACUGGGCGGGGCUUCCUGGACGGCUGCGUGACGUCAUAGGGAGGCGUGCCCGGAGUCCGCCUCUGCUUCCUAAUUGGGGGACGCGGGGCGGCGGCGGACACGCUCAGCGGCGCGGCCGUCGGAGCAGCUGCGCUGCGAUGUGUUCCCCGGGGCCGGCAUCCCGACCCUGGCGCCGCGGCAGCAGCUUCAGCGCGCCCGGAUACCCCGGGGCACGUUCACGGCGCACCGAGCGUUUGGCGAGGCUCAAGCCGUGCUCCGGGGAGAUGGGACGGCGGAGGUGACGCGCGCUGUGUCUAGACCGCUCCCCGCAGCGGGCGGGGCUGAGAAAGUGUGGCCAAGCUUCGGGGCGCCCACUGGAGCGCAACUAUUUUGGGUCUCUGAUCUCAGAGAGGAAAGUCCCAGAGACAGAGCCGCAUCCUCCCCCUCACUCUGCUGCACAUGCCCCGCCUCCGUCCCUCCUACCUUAAAGGUAGACUCGAAAGUGCUGCAGGACGAGGAGUCCGCAGACCUGGUUUCCAGCCCUACCUCCGAAAUGAGCCUGAACGAGAGUCCUGCCAUCUGCACCCGAGUCAGCUGCUUUGCGGAACGAAGCGAGUAUAAGUCCCAUGAGAUCUCCUUAAGGUUCACCACUCUCGGAGAAGAAAAAAGAAAGGGGAGGUGGAGAAUACCAGGAAACUGCAUGGGACAGGGGCAGAGAGGACAAGACUAACUUCACUACUAUAGAUCAUAUUUAAAGGGUCAAUAAUUAAAACAACUUGAUUUGGGUGCAGGAGACAAGCAGACGAAUGGACUGGAAUAGACUGUCCAGAAAUAGAUUCAAUGUACAGUUACUUAAUAUUUGAUAAAUGCAGCAUCUCAAAGUGGAGAAUGGAUUCUAAUAAACAGUGGGGGUU